rnacentral:rRNA from 1 species
UACGAAGGGUGCAAGCGUUACUCGGAAUCACUGGGCGUAAAGCGUGCGUAGGCGGUUUCUUAAGUCUGCCGUGAAAGCCCGGGGCUUAACUCCGGGUCUGCGGUGGAUACGGGCAGACUAGAGGCAGGUAGGGGAGAACGGAAUUCCCGGUGUAGCGGUGAAAUGCGCAGAUAUCGGGAGGAACACCGGUGGCGAAGGCGGUUCUCUGGGACGGUACUGACGCUGAGACGCGAAAGCGUGGGGAGCAAACAGG